rnacentral:rRNA from 1 species
AUUGAACGCUGGCGGAAUGCUUUACACAUGCAAGUCGAACGGCAGCACGGGGGCAGCCCUGGUGGCGAGUGGCGAACGGGUGAGUAAUACAUCGGAACGUGCCCGGUCGUGGGGGAUAGCGUAGCGAAAGUUACGCUAAUACCGCAUACGAUCUGAGGAUGAAAGCGGGGGACCUUCGGGCCUCGCGCGAUCGGAGCGGCCGAUGUCAGAUUAAGUAGUUGGUGGGGUAAAGGCCUACCAAGCCGACGAUCUGUAGCUGGUCUGAGAGGACGACCAGCCACACUGGGACUGAGACACGGCCCAGACUCCUACGGGAGGCAGCAGUGGGGAAUUUUGGACAAUGGGCGCAAGCCUGAUCCAGCCAUUCCGCGUGCAGGACGAAGGCCUUCGGGUUGUAAACUGCUUUUGUACGGAACGAAAAGGCUCUGGCUAAUACCUGGGGCUCAUGACGGUACCGUAAGAAUAAGCACCGGCUAACUACGUG